rnacentral:rRNA from 1 species
GCAGCCGCGGUAAUACGGAGGAUGCGAGCGUUAUCCGGAUUUAUUGGGUUUAAAGGGAGCGUAGACGGGAGAUUAAGUCAGUUGUGAAAGGCUGCGGCUCAACCGCAGCACUGCAGUUGAUACUGGUUUCCUUGAGUGCGGUUGAGGUAUGUGGAAUUCGUGGUGUAGCGGUGAAAUGCUUAGAUAUCACGAAGAACUCCGAUUGCGAAGGCAGCAUACUAAGCCGUAACUGACGUUGAGGCUCGAAAGUGUGGGUAUCAAACAGGAUUAGAUACCCC